UCGUCCGAUCACCGAAGUUAAGCAGCGUCGGUCGCGGUCAGUACUUGGAUGGGUGACUAUAAGGGAACACCGCGUGAUGU